rnacentral:rRNA from 1 species
CAGAAAGACCCUAUGAAGCUUUACUGUAGCUUGAUAUUGGCUCCGGGCUUUGUUUGCGCAGGAUAGGUGGGAGGCGUUGAAGAUUUUCUUGCGGGAAAGUCAGAGCCGUUGGUGAGAUACCACUCUAACAAUGCUAGGAUUCUAACCCUAUACCGUUAUCCGGUUAGGGGACAGUUUCAGGUGGUCAGUUUGACUGGGGCGGUCGCCUCCCAAAAGGUAACGGAGGCGUGCAAAGGUUUCCUCAGGCUGGUUGGAAAUCAGUCGUAGAGUGUAAAGGCAUAAGGAAGCUUGAUUGUGAGACCUACAAGUCGAACAAAGACGAAAGUCGGCCUUAGUGAUCCGACGGUUCCGAGUGGAAGGGCCGUCGCUCAACGGAUAAAAGUUACUCUAGGGAUAACAGGCUGA